AACUUUUGGCAAUGGAUCUCUUGGUUCUGGCAUCGAUGAAGAACGCAGCGAAAUGCGAUAAGUAAUGUGAUUUGCAGAAUUCAGUGAAUCAUCGAAUCUUUGAACGCACAUUGCGCCCAUCAGUAUUCUGUUGGGCAUGCCUGUUCGAGCGUCAUUUCCACCCUCAAGCCCUGGCUGCUUGGUGUUGGGGUACUCUACAGCUGCUGUAGGCCCCGAAAAUCAGUGGCGGUCUCGCCGGGACCCCGAGCGUAGUAGAUUUCUCUCGCUCAGGGGCGACCGGUGGGUUUCUAGCCGUUAAACCCCCCAAUUUUUUAAGGUUGACCUCGGAUCAGGUAGGAAUACCCGCUGAACUUAAGCAUAUCAAUAAGCGGAGGCU
rnacentral:misc_RNA from 1 species